rnacentral:rRNA from 1 species
AUUGAACGCUAGCGGGAUGCUUUACACAUGCAAGUCGAACGAGUGGCGGUCGGGUGAGUAAUAUAUCGGCACGUGCCCAAUAGCGGGGGAUAACUAAUCGAAAGAGUGGCUAAUACCGCAUACUAUUGUAGCGGCCGAUAUCGUAUUAGCUAGGUGGUGGGGUAAAGGCUCACCAAGGAAACGAUCCGUAGCUGGUGUGAGAGGACGACCGGCCACACUGGUACUGAGACACGGCCCAGACGCCUACGGGAGGCAGCAGUGGGGAAUGUUGGACAAUGGGGGAAAGCCUUAUCCAGCCAUCCCGCGUGUAUGAGAAGGCCUUCGGGUUGUAAAGUACUUUUGGCAGAGAAGCGGUAUCUGCAGAAUAAGCACCGGCUAACUACGUGCCAGCAGCCGCGGUAAUUC